rnacentral:rRNA from 2 species
UGCAGUCGAGCGAACUGAUUAGAAGCUUGCUUCUAUGACGUUAGCGGCGGACGGGUGAGUAACACGUGGGCAACCUGCCUGUAAGACUGGGAUAACUUCGGGAAACCGAAGCUAAUACCGGAUAGGAUCUUCUCCUUCAUGGGAGAUGAUUGAAAGAUGGUUUCGGCUAUCACUUACAGAUGGGCCCGCGGUGCAUUAGCUAGUUGGUGAGGUAACGGCUCACCAAGGCAACGAUGCAUAGCCGACCUGAGAGGGUGAUCGGCCACACUGGGACUGAGACACGGCCCAGACUCCUACGGGAGGCAGCAGUAGGGAAUCUUCCGCAAUGGACGAAAGUCUGACGGAGCAACGCCGCGUGAGUGAUGAAGGCUUUCGGGUCGUAAAACUCUGUUGUUAGGGAAGAACAAGUACGAGAGUAACUGCUCGUACCUUGACGGUACCUAACCAGAAAGCCACGGCUAACUACGUGCCAGCAGCCGCGGUAAUACGUAGGUGGCAAGCGUUAUCCGGAAUUAUUGGGCGUAAAGCGCGCGCAGGCGGUUUCUUAAGUCUGAUGUGAAAGCCCACGGCUCAACCGUGGAGGGUCAUUGGAAACUGGGGAACUUGAGUGCAGAAGAGAAAAGCGGAAUUCCACGUGUAGCGGUGAAAUGCGUAGAGAUGUGGAGGAACACCAGUGGCGAAGGCGGCUUUUUGGUCUGUAACUGACGCUGAGGCGCGAAAGCG